GGUCUAAUAGUGUAGAGGUUAUCACACGGGAUUUUGAUAGCUCCUCCAUUUCCCGUAACCCAGGUUCGAGUCCUGGUUAGACCU
rnacentral:tRNA from 1 species